GUUGGUGUUGUGUACUCAGGUGAAUAAUAUGUUUGCGACGUUACUCUGAGCGCAUAUCCACACCGGGCGAGCUUGAAAAAUAUGCCCGGCCACGGUGGGAUUCGAACCUACGACCUUUGGAAUACUAGCCCAAUGCUCUUCCAACUGAGCUACGCGGUCACGACGGUUCGAGUAAGUGAUAUUUCGGAACAGUAUCUAGUUCCUUCAAUACCAAUGUGUUCUAGUAAUAUGAAUUUUUUCUGUGUUGGUGUUGUGUACUCAGGUGAAUAAGAUGUUUGCGAUGUUACUCUGAGUGCAUAUCCACACCGGGCGAGCUUGAAAAAUAUGCCCAGCCACGGUGGGAUUCGAAC